GCUGCUGUCACCAUGGAAACCAUCGAUGCAUCUCUGGGUCUCAGUGAGGAAAAGACACCGGAUCACCUAGCAGGUUAAUCAAAAAAGAAACAGAUGGAGAGACACCCAGAAGAAAAGAUGACCAUCAUGAUGAGCUCAUCAGAGACGUCCACAAAUUCAGCAGGACCUCCUGGGGAGGGGGAGGCGAGUUUCACAGGGGAGCAAGUGGAUCCACGUCAGUGCGCCGACACUGUGGAGGAACCACACUGCUGCACCUCGACCUCCUCAGUGCUGCUCACCUGUGAGCCCCAUCCUGGAGAGAAGCCCUUCACCUGUGAGCAGCGUGGGAGGAGUUCCUGACAACGUUGUUCUUUCAGGAAUCAUCAACACGUUCCCGCUGGAGAGUAAAGUGAAGCCUGAGAGUCUCUGGUGCGAAGCGUCGACCUGGACUGUCUGCAUCUCUUCAAAAAAAGUGACGUGAUUUCUCUAUUGACAUUAAAACUUUAUUGACGUUUAUUCUGCAUCCAACUUUUGUUGUCAUGUGUCAUAAUAAUGCUAAUACACAACCCACAAAACCUUCUGAAACAAGUAAAAGUCCUGCAUAUCAAAUCUGACUUGAAGUUGCAACAGAACAGUCGUGUUGCGUUGAAGCGGACGGUCGCUGUGGACUGAAGAGGAAAUGUCUCAGAGCACCAGCUGGAGUCUGAGCUGAAGGAAGUUCUGGUGAACCUGCUUGAGUUUAUCUGAUAGCAGAAAGCCAUUGCAGAACGAGGAGCCUGACGAACAAAUAAGAAAAAAACUUGACAAAUGGCCUCAUGGUGG
ensembl:lncRNA